AAGGACGUACGGGAAAAGUGCCAAGAGCUGGCAGGCUGUCCUGCAAAGGGAACCGUCAGCAAAAUGAACUGAAGGGAAAAGACAGAUGGGAAGAGCA